GGUUUUAUGGGGUAGUGGUUAGCCCCCGAGAUUUUGGCCGCUUAUGGAUCCCUAAUGGAGAACGGUUAAAUGUUUCUCGUGACUUGCUCGUGACCCCGGUUCGAAUCUGGGUAAAACCU